rnacentral:rRNA from 1 species
UACGAAGGGUGCAAGCGUUACUCGGAAUUACUGGGCGUAAAGCGUGCGCAGGCGGUUUUGUAAGCCCGAUGUGAAAGCCCCGGGCUUAACCUGGGAAUGGCAUUUGGGACUGCAAGGCUUGAGUGCGGCAGAGGAGACUGGAAUUCCUGGUGUAGCAGUGAAAUGCGUAGAUAUCAGGAGGAAUACCGAUGGCGAAGGCAGGUCUCUGGGCUGACACUGACGCUCAUGCACGAAAGCGUGGGGAGCAAACAGG